rnacentral:rRNA from 1 species
GGGAAACCCAGUGUGACUCGUCACACUAUCAUUAACUGAAUCCAUAGGUUAAUGAGGCGAACCGGGGGAACUGAAACAUCUAAGUACCCCGAGGAAAAGAAAUCAACCGAGAUUCCCCCAGUAGCGGCGAGCGAACGGGGAGGAGCCCAGAGCCUGAAUCAGCAUGUGUGUUAGUGGAAGCGUCUGGAAAGGCGCGCGAUACAGGGUGACAGCCCCGUACACAAAAGCGCAUGUGCUGUGAGCUCGAUGAGUAGGGCGGGACACGUGGUAUCCUGUCUGAAUAUGGGGGGACCAUCCUCCAAGGCUAAAUACUCCUGACUGACCGAUAGUGAACCAGUACCGUGAGGGAAAGGCGAAAAGAACCCCGGCGAGGGGAGUGAAAAAGAACCUGAAACCGUGUACGUACAAGCAGUGGGAGCACAGGUUUACCUGUGUGACUGCGUACCUUUUGUAUAAUGGGUCAGCGACUUAUAUUCUGUAGCAAGGUUAACCGUAUAGGGGAGCCGUAGGGAAACCGAGUCUUAACCGGGCGUUAAGUUGCAGGGUAUAGACCCGAAACCCGGUGAUCUAGCCAUGGGCAGGUUGAAGGUUGGGUAACACUAACUGGAGGACCGAACCGACUAAUGUUGAAAAAUUAGCGGAUGACCUGUGGCUGGGGGUGAAAGGCCAAUCAAACCGGGAGAUAGCUGGUUCUCCCCGAAAGCUAUUUAGGUAGCGCCUCGUGAAUUCAUCUCCGGGGGUAGAGCACUGUUUCGGCUAGGGGGCCAUCCCGGCUUACCAACCCGAUGCAAACUGCGAAUACCGGAGAAUGUUAUCACGGGAGACACACGGCGGGUGCUAACGUCCGUCGUGAAGAGGGAAACAACCCAGACCGCCAGCUAAGGUCCCAAAGUCAUGGUUAAGUGGGAAACGAUGUGGGAAGGCCCAGACAGCCAGGAUGUUGGCUUAGAAGCAGCCAUCAUUUAAAGAAAGCGUAAUAGCUCACUGGUCGAGUCGGCCUGCGCGGAAGAUGUAACGGGGCUAAACCAUGCACCGAAGCUGCGGCAGCGACGCUGAUGCGUUGUUGGGUAGGGGAGCGUUCUGUAAGCCUGUGAAGGUGGCCUGUGAGGGUUGCUGGAGGUAUCAGAAGUGCGAAUGCUGACAUAAGUAACGAUAAAGCGGGUGAAAAGCCCGCUCGCCGGAAGACCAAGGGUUCCUGUCCAACGUUAAUCGGGGCAGGGUGAGUCGACCCCUAAGGCGAGGCCGAAAGGCGUAGUCGAUGGGAAACGGGUUAAUAUUCCCGUACUUGGUGUUACUGCGAAGGGGGGACGGAGAAGGCUAUGUUGGCCGGGCGACGGUUGUCCCGGUUUAAGCGUGUAGGUGUGUGUUCCAGGUAAAUCCGGUUCACUUUAACACUGAGGCGUGAUGACGAGGCACUACGGUGCUGAAGCAACAAAUGCCCUGCUUCCAGGAAAAGCCUCUAAGCAUCAGGUAACAUCAAAUCGUACCCCAAACCGACACAGGUGGUCAGGUAGAGAAUACCAAGGCGCUUGAGAGAACUCGGGUGAAGGAACUAGGCAAAAUGGUGCCGUAACUUCGGGAGAAGGCACGCUGACACGUAGGUGAAGUGAUUUACUCAUGGAGCUGAAGUCAGUCGAAGAUACCAGCUGGCUGCAACUGUUUAUUAAAAACACAGCACUGUGCAAACACGAAAGUGGACGUAUACGGUGUGACGCCUGCCCGGUGCCGGAAGGUUAAUUGAUGGGGUCAGCGCAAGCGAAGCUCCUGAUCGAAGCCCCGGUAAACGGCGGCCGUAACUAUAACGGUCCUAAGGUAGCGAAAUUCCUUGUCGGGUAAGUUCCGACCUGCACGAAUGGCGUAAUGAUGGCCAGGCUGUCUCCACCCGAGACUCAGUGAAAUUGAACUCGCUGUGAAGAUGCAGUGUACCCGCGGCAAGACGGAAAGACCCCGUGAACCUUUACUAUAGCUUGACACUGAACAUUGAGCCUUGAUGUGUAGGAUAGGUGGGAGGCUUUGAAGCGUGGACGCCAGUCUGCAUGGAGCCGGCCUUGAAAUACCACCCUUUAAUGUUUGAUGUUCUAACGUGGACCCGUGAUCCGGGUUGCGGACAGUGUCUGGUGGGUAGUUUGACUGGGGCGGUCUCCUCCUAAAGAGUAACGGAGGAGCACGAAGGUUGGCUAAUCCUGGUCGGACAUCAGGAGGUUAGUGCAAUGGCAUAAGCCAGCUUGACUGCGAGCGUGACGGCGCGAGCAGGUGCGAAAGCAGGUCAUAGUGAUCCGGUGGUUCUGAAUGGAAGGGCCAUCGCUCAACGGAUAAAAGGUACUCCGGGGAUAACAGGCUGAUACCGCCCAAGAGUUCAUAUCGACGGCGGUGUUUGGCACCUCGAUGUCGGCUCAUCACAUCCUGGGGCUGAAGUAGGUCCCAAGGGUAUGGCUGUUCGCCAUUUAAAGUGGUACGCGAGCUGGGUUUAGAACGUCGUGAGACAGUUCGGUCCCUAUCUGCCGUGGGCGCUGGAGAACUGAGGGGGGCUGCUCCUAGUACGAGAGGACCGGAGUGGACGCAUCACUGGUGUUCGGGUUGUCAUGCCAAUGGCACUGCCCGGUAGCUAAAUGCGGAAGAGAUAAGUGCUGAAAGCAUCUAAGCACGAAACUUGCCCCGAGAUGAGUUCUCCCUGAGACUUAGAGUCUCCUGAAGGAACGUUGAAGACGACGACGUUGAUAGGCCGGGUGUGUAAGCGCAGCGAUGCGUUGAGCUAACCGGUACUAAUGAACCGUGAGGCUUAACCUU